UACGUAGGGUGCGAGCGUUAAUCGGAAUUACUGGGCGUAAAGCGUGCGCAGGCGGCUUUGCAAGACAGAUGUGAAAUCCCCGGGCCCAACCUGGGAACUGCAUUUGUGACUGCAAGGCUAGAGUACGGCAGAGGGGGAUGGAAUUCCGCGUGUAGCAGUGAAAUGCGUAGAUAUGCAGAGGAACACCAAUGGCGAAGGCAAUCCCCUGGGCCUGUACUGACGCUCAUGCACGAAAGCGUGGGGAGCAAACAGG
rnacentral:rRNA from 1 species